UACUUUUAUGAAAGGAGAGAAGGUUAGCAAUCCCCUUGAUAAGGAUGGAAGUGGACCUCAGACCUGACAACAUGCGUAUGGUUAAGGCACUGACACUUAAUUUGUCACAUCUAACCAGUUUUUUAG